AGAGUUUGAUCCUGGCUCAGGAUGAACGCUAGCGGCAGGCUUAAUACAUGCAAGUCGAGGGGCAGCAUGGUGUAGCAAUACACUGAUGGCGACCGGCAAACGGGUGCGGAACACGUACAGAACCUUCCUUCGAGCGGGGAAUAGCCCAGAGAAAUUUGGAUUAAUACCCCAUAGUAUAUUGAAGGGGCAUCUCUUUAAUAUUAAAGAUUUAUCACUUGAAGAUGGCUGUGCGCCUGAUUAGGUAGUUGGCGGGGUAACGGCCCACCAAGCCUGCGAUCAGUAGCUGGUCUGAGAGGAUGAUCAGCCACACUGGAACUGAGACACGGUCCAGACUCCUACGGGAGGCAGCAGUUAGGAAUAUUGGACAAUGGGGGAAACCCUGAUCCAGCCAUGCCGCGUGUGUGAAGAAGGCCUUAGGGUUGUAAAGCACUUUCGGCUGUGAAGAUAAUGACAGUAGCAGAAGAAGAAGCUCCGGCUAAAUUCGUGCCAGCAGCCGCGGUAAUACGAAUGGAGCGAGCGUUGUUCGGAAUCACUGGGCGUAAAGCGUGCGCAGGCGGUCUUGAAAGUCAGAAGUGAAAGCCCAGGGCUCAACCCUGGAAUUGCUUUUGAAACUCCAAGACUAGAGUACUGGAGGGGUUGGCGGAAUUUCGAGUGUAGCAGUGAAAUGCGUAGAUAUUCGAAGGAACACCGAUGGCGUAGGCAGCCAACUGGACAGUUACUGACGCUCAUGCACGAAAGCGUGGGGAUCAAACAGGAUUAGAUACCCUGGUAGUCCACGCCCUAAACGAUGUGUGCUAGUUGUCGGGACCUUUAGGUCUCGGUGACGCAGCUAACGCUUUAAGCACACCGCCUGGGGAGUACGGUCGCAAGAUUAAAACUCAAAGGAAUUGACGGGGACCCGCACAAGCGGUGGAGCAUGUUGUUUAAUUCGAAGCAACGCGAAGAACCUUACCUACACUUGACAUACCUCUUGGGGCUUUCAGAGAUGAUUGCUUUCGGUUCGGCCGGGGAGAGUACAGGUGCUGCAUGGCUGUCGUCAGCUCGUGUCGUGAGAUGUUGGGUUAAGUCCCGCAACGAGCGCAACCCUUAUCGUAUGUUGCCAGCAUUUAGUUGGGCACUCAUGCGAGACUGCCGGUGAUAAGCCGGAGGAAGGCGGGGAUGACGUCAAGUCAUCAUGGCCCUUACGUGUAGGGCUACAAACGUGCUACAAUGGCGGUGACAAUGGGCAGCAAAGUCGUGAGGCUAAGCUAAUCCCUAAAAGCCGUCUCAGUUCAGAUUGUAGUCUGCAACUCGACUACAUGAAGUUGGAAUCGCUAGUAAUCGUGAAUCAGCAUGUCACGGUGAAUACGUUCCCGGGUCUUGUACACACCGCCCGUCACACCAUGGGAGUUGGUUUUACCCGAAGGCCGUGCGCUAACUACGGAGGCAGCGGACCACGGUAGGAUCAAUGACUGGGGUGAAGUCGUAACAAGGUAACCA
rnacentral:rRNA from 1 species